GAUUGAACGCUGGCGGCAGGCCUAACACAUGCAAGUCGAGCGGAUGAAGGGAGCUUGCUCCUGGAUUCAGCGGCGGACGGGUGAGUAAUGCCUAGGAAUCUGCCUGGUAGUGGGGGAUAACGUCCGGAAACGGGCGCUAAUACCGCAUACGUCCUGAGGGAGAAAGUGGGGGAUCUUCGGACCUCACGCUAUCAGAUGAGCCUAGGUCGGAUUAGCUAGUUGGUGGGGUAAAGGCCUACCAGGGCGACGAUCCGUAACUGGUCUGAGAGGAUGAUCAGUCACACUGGAACUGAGACACGGUCCAGACUCCUACGGGAGGCAGCAGUGGGGAAUAUUGGACAAUGGGCGAAAGCCUGAUCCAGCCAUGCCGCGUGUGUGAAGAAGGUCUUCGGAUUGUAAAGCACUUUAAGUUGGGAGGAAGGGCAGUAAGUUAAUACCUUGCUGUUUUGACGUUACCAACAGAAUAAGCACCGGCUAACUUCGUG
rnacentral:rRNA from 1 species